AGGGAUUUGCCCUUCAUUAACGGGCGAAGUGAAGCGGCAAAAGCUCAAAUUUGAAAUCUAGCACCUUCGGUGUUCUAGAUGAAAAAUUGAAGAUGGUAACCUUGGGUUUGGCUCUUGUCUAUGUUCCUUGGAACAGGACGUCAUAGAGGGUGAGAAUCCCGUCUGAUGAGAUGCCCAUUCCUAUGUAAGGUGCUAUCGAAGAGUCGAGUUGUUUGGGAAUGCAGCUCUAAGUGGGUGGUAAAUUCCAUCUAAAGCUAAAUAUUGGCGAGAGACCGAUAGCGAACAAGUACAGUGAUGGAAAGAUGAAAAGAACUUUGAAAAGAGAGUGAAAAAGUACGUGAAAUUGUUGAAAGGGAAGGGCAUUAGAUCAGACUUGGUGUUUUACGAUUAUCUUCUCUUCUUGAGUUGUGCACUCGUAUUUCACUGGGCCAGCAUCGAUUCGGAUGGCAAGAUAAUAGCAGUUGAAUGUGGCUUCACUUCGGUGGAGUGUUAUAGCUUCUGUUGAUAUUGCCUGUCUGGAUCGAGGGCUGCGUCUUUUGACUAGGAUGCUGGCGUAAUGAUCUAAUGCCGCCCGUCUUGAAACACGGAACGUC
rnacentral:rRNA from 1 species